rnacentral:rRNA from 1 species
UACGGAGGAUGCGAGCGUUAUCCGGAUUUAUUGGGUUUAAAGGGUGCGUAGGUGGUGAUUUAAGUCAGCGGUGAAAGUUUGUGGCUCAACCAUAAAAUUGCCGUUGAAACUGGGUUACUUGAGUGUGUUUGAGGUAGGCGGAAUGCGUGGUGUAGCGGUGAAAUGCAUAGAUAUCACGCAGAACUCCGAUUGCGAAGGCAGCUUACUAAAUCAUAACUGACACUGAAGCACGAAAGCGUGGGGAUCAAACAGG